rnacentral:rRNA from 1 species
GACGAACGCUGGCGGCGUGCCUAAUACAUGCAAGUAGAACGCUGAAGAGAGGAGCUUGCUCUUCUUGGAUGAGUUGCGAACGGGUGAGUAACGCGUAGGUAACCUGCCUUGUAGCGGGGGAUAACUAUUGGAAACGAUAGCUAAUACCGCAUAACAAUGGAUGACACAUGUCAUUUAUUUGAAAGGGGCAAUUGCUCCACUACAAGAUGGACCUGCGUUGUAUUAGCUAGUAGGUGAGGUAAUGGCUCACCUAGGCGACGAUACAUAGCCGACCUGAGAGGGUGAUCGGCCACACUGGGACUGAGACACGGCCCAGACUCCUACGGGAGGCAGCAGUAGGGAAUCUUCGGCAAUGGGGGCAACCCUGACCGAGCAACGCCGCGGGAGUGAAGAAGGUUUUCGGAUCGUAAAGCUCUGUUGUAGGUCAAGAACGGGUGUGAGAGUGGAAAGUUCACACUGUGACGGUAGCUUACCAGAAAGGGACGGCUAACUACGUG